UGGGAUUUUUGAUGGAAUUAUUCAGAAAUUAAAGCUCUGUUUGGGGUUGCUGGGUAUCUGUUUGUUGACUUUGAACUACUGGGACCCCCCAGCGGGAGACUGAAGCCAGCACAAAGGAUGGCAAAACUAGGCCUCCACUCAAGCUGGGAUUCUGCGAGCACCUGUGAGCCAGUUACCUAGAGCUAAAACCUGCGUGGAGUGAGGGGCCGAGUGAGGGGCUCAGGACCACAGAAGGCUGCGUGUGUGUGAGAACGGGAGUAAGGCACAAGCCGCGCUGCACACAGCGCCCCGCCAAGACCUCCCCUCGGAAGUGAAUUUGGGAACAGACUUUGUGGGAAGUAACUUAUGAUUUUCCAAUUAUUAAACUUAGAGAAAGAACAAGGAGGACAUUCAUCUUUCUAUCUGUCCGGGGGGUUACUCGACACGUCCAGGGAACCGGGAGUUGUGGAGAACUGGUCGAUUUUUGCAGAAGCAGCCUCAACACUGGAAGGCGAGCUCCCGCAGGGCACCGCUCCCUGUGUCCCCUGGAGAGAGGGGGAGCGCCUGGCGCUCAGUAGAUAUUUGGCGAGUGAAGGAAAAGUCUCCAUCUUGUCAUUCUCUUUCUCAAAACCCUUGUGUGGCUUCCCACUAUAGCUAAAAUAUAUCAAAUCUAGACUUCUUGCUCUGCCCUGUAA